UACGAAGGGGGCUAGCGUUGUUCGGAAUCACUGGGCGUAAAGCGCACGUAGGCGGAUUCUUAAGUCAGGGGUGAAAGCCUGAGGCUCAACCUCAGAACUGCCUUUGAUACUGGGAAUCUUGAGUAUGGUAGAGGUCGGUGGAACAGCAAGUGUAGAGGUGAAAUUCGUAGAUAUUUGCUAGAACACCAGUGGCGAAGGCGGCCGACUGGACCAUAACUGACGCUGAGGUGCGAAAGCGUGGGGAGCAAACAGG
rnacentral:rRNA from 1 species